GUGGUGUGCUCAGAGCAGGGGGCCUGAAGAAAUGGCUCGUCUGUUUAUAACACACCUGAUAGGAAUCUGGGUUCACUGACGAGGGGCACAAAACGUGUGGCCUUCCAAUGAACAGAAACCCAACACGU
rnacentral:snoRNA from 1 species